rnacentral:lncRNA from 1 species
AUCUCAAUGCUAAUGCAUAUGAUGAAAUUGCAUGAGGGAUCUUAGGGUCAAAAUUGGGGUCUUACAGUGAUCCAACGCUCCGUGUUUUUUCUGAUUUUAAUUAUUUUUCUUUUAUUAUUUUUAAUUUUUUUUCUUUUAAAAUUCAUAGUAAUUUCAUUUUUCAUCCAAAAAAUCCCAAAAUAAUUUCUAACAUUUUUUUUAUUUUUCUCAUCUGAUUUUUACUUUUUCACAUUUUAUUUCUCUAAUUUUCUAAUUUUCGUGAAUUUUAUCUUUUCUCCUUUGUUUUAAUUGGUUUAAUACUUUUCUAUAUUUUAAAAUUCUAAAAAAAAUAUUACAUGCUUCUUAUUUUAUUUCCAACCUUCCAUAAUUUUCUUGGCCAUUUAUUU